UACGUAGGGGGCUAGCGUUGUUCGGAAUUACUGGGCGUAAAGGGCUCGUAGGCGGCCAACUAAGUCGGACGUGAAAUCCCCAGGCUCAACCUGGGAACUGCGUCCGAUACUGGAUGGCUUGAAUCCGGGAGAGGGAUGCAGAAUUCCAGGUGUAGCGGUGAAAUGCGUAGAUAUCUGGAGGAAUACCGGUGGCGAAGGCGGCAUCCUGGACCGGCAUUGACGCUGAGGCGCGAAAGCUAGGGGAGCAAACG
rnacentral:rRNA from 1 species